GGCGCUCGGUCCGGUCGCGUCCGACACCCGGUGGGACUCAGAAGGCAGUGGAGCCCCGGCGGCGGCGGCGGCGGCGCGCGGGGGCGACGCGCGGGAACAACGCGAGCCGGCGCGCGGGACGAAGAAUAAUCAUGGGCCAGACUGGGAAGAAAUCUGAGAAGGGACCAGUUUGUUGGCGGAAGCGUGUAAAAUCAGAGUACAUGCGACUGAGACAGCUCAAGAGGUUCAGACGGGCUGAUGAAGUAAAGAGUAUGUUUAGUUCCAAUCGUCAGAAAAUUUUGGAAAGAACGGAAAUCUUAAACCAAGAAUGGAAACAGCGAAGGAUACAGCCUGUGCACAUCCUGACUUCUGUGAGCUCAUUGCGCGGGACUAGGGAGUGUUCGGUGACCAGUGACUUGGAUUUUCCAACACAAGUCAUCCCAUUAAAGACUCUGAAUGCAGUUGCUUCAGUGCCCAUAAUGUAUUCUUGGUCUCCCCUACAGCAGAAUUUUAUGGUGGAAGAUGAAACUGUUUUACAUAACAUUCCUUAUAUGGGAGAUGAAGUUUUAGACCAGGAUGGUACUUUCAUUGAAGAACUAAUAAAAAAUUAUGAUGGAAAAGUACAUGGGGAUAGAGAAUGUGGGUUUAUAAAUGAUGAAAUUUUUGUGGAGUUGGUGAAUGCCCUUGGUCAAUAUAAUGAUGAUGACGAUGACGAUGAUGGAGACGAUCCUGAAGAAAGAGAAGAAAAGCAGAAAGAUCUGGAGGAUCACCGAGAUGAUAAAGAAAGCCGCCCACCUCGGAAAUUUCCUUCUGAUAAAAUUUUUGAAGCCAUUUCCUCAAUGUUUCCAGAUAAGGGCACAGCAGAAGAACUAAAGGAAAAAUAUAAAGAACUCACCGAACAGCAGCUCCCAGGCGCACUUCCUCCUGAAUGUACCCCCAACAUAGAUGGACCAAACGCUAAAUCUGUUCAGAGAGAGCAAAGCUUACACUCCUUUCAUACGCUUUUCUGUAGGCGAUGUUUUAAAUAUGACUGCUUCCUACAUCCCUUUCAUGCAACACCCAACACUUAUAAGCGGAAGAACACAGAAACAGCUCUAGACAACAAACCUUGUGGACCACAGUGUUACCAGCAUUUGGAGGGAGCAAAGGAGUUCGCUGCUGCUCUCACCGCUGAGCGGAUAAAGACCCCACCAAAACGCCCAGGAGGCCGCAGAAGAGGACGGCUUCCCAAUAACAGUAGCAGGCCCAGCACCCCCACCAUUAAUGUGCUGGAAUCAAAGGAUACAGACAGUGAUAGGGAAGCAGGGACUGAAACGGGGGGAGAGAACAAUGAUAAAGAAGAAGAAGAGAAGAAAGAUGAAACUUCGAGCUCCUCUGGUAAGACACGUCUAAUAACUGGGUUUUACUGUUCUGCGAAAGUUCAUAUUGUGAGGAUUAAGGAUGUAUAAUGCAUUGAAUAAUUUUCUUAAAGUUGGUUAGUUUCAGUAUAAAGACCAGAGUCUAAGACCAGAGUUAUCUCAAGAAUGUGUAGCUGUGUUGUUUCUGUUUCCUGCCUCCACCCCUACCUUAGCUUGUGGUGUUUGCCCUGCUUAGUUGUGUGAAAGUUGAUGAUGCACUUUAUUCUCAUUCUUUGUGCCAUUUUCCUUUUUCGAUCUUUCUCAGGUAGGGAAUAAUGAAAUUUGGAUCAUUUGGUUUAAUAUUCUUGAUGUUCUAUGAGUAGUUUUGUUGGAAAAUGUGAACUACUGAUGAGUUAGUAUUUUACCGAUUGGAUUUUAGUUGUCCUUACCUUUUUGCUUUUUUCUUAAGCACACCCUGAAUUUUACUUCUUAAUAUUAUUUCCAAUCAUUUCUUGACCAGUGCUUACAUUUGGUUUUGUAGAAGCAAAUUCUCGGUGUCAAACACCAAUAAAGAUG
rnacentral:sRNA from 1 species